rnacentral:tRNA from 1 species
CGGGGUGUGGCGCAGUCUGGUAGCGCACAAGUCUGGGGGACUUGGGGCCGGAGGUUCAAAUCCUCUCACUCCGACCA